GCCUGGCUAGCUCAGUUGGUAGAGCAUGCGAUUCUUAAUCUCAGGGUCAUGGGUUCGAGCCCUAUGUUGGGUG